CCUCGCAUUGGCGACACUCUUAAAAAUACACGGUCUCCAACCGCGAAUUCUAAAUCUUUUCUUCGCUUGUCGGCAUAACUCUUUUGCCGAGAUUGCGCCAUCGCUAACCGUUGACGGGCAAGGCGAACCUUCUCUUCCGCCUCCCGCACUACAUCCGGGCCAAGAGCUGUUCUCUCGCCCACGUCGCUCCAAUGGAUAGGAGAACGACACUU
rnacentral:lncRNA from 1 species